rnacentral:rRNA from 1 species
UACGUAGGGUGCGAGCGUUGUCCGGAAUUAUUGGGCGUAAAGAGCUCGUAGGCGGUCUGUCGCGUCUGCUGUGAAAACUCGGGGCUUAACCCCGGGCCUGCAGUGGGUACGGGCAGACUAGAGUGCGGUAGGGGAGACUGGAAUUCCUGGUGUAGCGGUGAAAUGCGCAGAUAUCAGGAGGAACACCGGUGGCGAAGGCGGGUCUCUGGGCAGUAACUGACGCUGAGGAGCGAAAGCGUGGGGAGCGAACAGG